UCUCGUUGAGUCUAGUUUAUUUCAGGACAUUUGAUUGUUUUGUACAGAUACUAAUUCAAUUCAUGGUUUAUAUAAUGUCUUUCGUUUAGAGUGACAUUUUGAAUAUGCUCUGAAAGAA